UGAAUAAAGAAUCCGCCGGGUGGAAAUGGCAGUAGAUUAGACGUUACGGAAGAGGAAGUUAGCGAGAUUGAAGGUGUACGAAGACAAACUGCAAAUGGAACAGAAGGGAUGAAAACAGGCAGCAUCAGUGAGCGGUGCGGCAGUGCCAAGCAGCUGGUGCAUGUGCUGUUAGGCCCAAAGAGCAGGGAUUGCUGAAGACCGAAAAGACGCCUACAGCGUGGGAGAAAACGACGUCUCAUGUCAC